ACGCGUGGAACCUUACCAGGUCUUGACAUCCCAUUGACCGCUAUGGAGACAUAGCUUUCCCUUCGGGGACAGUGGUGACAGGUGGUGCAUGGUUGUCGUCAGCUCGUGUCGUGAGAUGUUGGGUUAAGUCCCGCAACGAGCGCAACCCUUGUUCUUAGUUGCCAUCAUUUAGUUGGGCACUCUAAGGAGACUGCCGGUGACAAACCGGAGGAAGGUGGGGAUGACGUCAAAUCAUCAUGCCCCUUAUGACCUGGGCUACACACGUGCUACAAUGGAUGGUACAAAGGGCUGCAAGACCGCGAGGUUUAGCCAAUCCCAUAAAACCAUUCUCAGUUCGGAUUGCAGGCUGCAACUCGCCUGCAUGAAGCUGGAAUCGCUAGUAAUCGCGGAUCAGCAUGCCGCGGUGAAUACGUUCCCGGGCCUUGCACUCACCGCCCGU
rnacentral:rRNA from 1 species